rnacentral:rRNA from 1 species
UACAGAGGGGGCAAGCGUUGUUCGGAAUUACUGGGCGUAAAGGGCGCGUAGGCGGCCUUCUAAGUCGAACGUGAAAUCCCCGGGCUCAACCCGGGAACUGCGUCCGAUACUGGAAGGCUUGAAUCCGGGAGAGGGAUGUGGAAUUCCAGGUGUAGCGGUGAAAUGCGUAGAUAUCGAGAGGAACACCUGCGGCGAAGGCGGGUUGCUGGGCUGACACUGACGCUGAACUGCGAAAGCUAGGGGAGCGAACGGG